CGGCACUCCAGAUGUUUUGGACUACACCCCCCAUGAUGCUUUGCCAGCAUUAUGGGGGAUGUAGUCCACAACAUCUGGAGUGCCG